GCUGGCGGCGUGCUUAACACAUGCAAGUCGAACGCUGAAGCACCAGCUUGCUGGUGUGGAUGAGUGGCGAACGGGUGAGUAAUACGUGAGUAACCUGCCCUUGACUCUGGGAUAAGCCCGGGAAACUGGGUCUAAUACUGGAUGCUACAUGUCACCGCAUGGUGGUGUGUGGAAAGGGUUUACUGGUCUUGGAUGGGCUCACGGCCUAUCAGCUUGUUGGUGAGGUAAUGGCUCACCAAGGCGACGACGGGUAGCCGGCCUGAGAGGGUGACCGGCCACACUGGGACUGAGACACGGCCCAGACUCCUACGGGAGGCAGCAGUGGGGAAUAUUGCACAAUGGGCGAAAGCCUGAUGCAGCGACGCCGCGUGAGGGAUGACGGCCUUCGGGUUGUAAACCUCUUUCAGCAGGGAAGAAGCCACAAGUGACGGUACCUGCAGAAGAAGCGCCGGCUAACUACGUGCCAGCAGCCGCGGUAAUACGUAGGGCGCAAGCGUUGUCCGGAAUUAUUGGGCGUAAAGAGCUCGUAGGCGGUUUGUCGCGUCUGCUGUGAAAGCCCGGGGCUUAACCCCGGGUGUGCAGUGGGUACGGGCAGACUAGAGUGCAGUAGGGGAGACUGGAAUUCCUGGUGUAGCGGUGGAAUGCGCAGAUAUCAGGAGGAACACCGAUGGCGAAGGCAGNNNUNUGGGCUGUUAC
rnacentral:rRNA from 1 species